UACAGAGGUCUCAAGCGUUGUUCGGAUUCAUUGGGCGUAAAGGGUGCGUAGGCGGCGCGGUAAGUCGGGGUGUGAAAUCUCGGAGCUUAACUCCGAAACUGCAUUCGAUACUGCCGUGCUUGAGGACUGGAGAGGAGACUGGAAUUUACGGUGUAGCGGUGAAAUGCGUAGAUAUCGUAAGGAAGACCAGUGGCGAAGGCGGGUCUCGUGGACAGUUCCUGACGCUGAGGCACGAAGGCCAGGGGAGCAAACGGG
rnacentral:rRNA from 1 species